UGGGGUGGGCGUUGGGGCGGAGGGCGGUAUUUUUCAGGCCCACCGGGCGCAGUGUGGAGAGGGGAGCCCUGGGCCUCAUCCCACCCAGGGGCGCCCCCCACAGCGCUGAGCCCCCGGAGCACCCGCAAUCCAGGCCGUUGGAGGCCCAGAGCCGAGACCUGCGGCGCCACGGCCCCCUCUGUGUCAGGGCCCCGACGGGAGGUAAGGCCCCGACUAGGCGCUUCCAUCCUCCCAGAACCGGAGGAAGCUCGCAGCAGAGGCCGCCCCGCAGAGGGUGAGAGCCCUGUGGGUGAGAGGCGGUCUGUCUGUCUCCUUCGAAGCCUCGUGCCACGCGGGGCUGCACUUUUGGAAACAGCGUGAGGCUCCGCCUCCGGCCGGCCCACAGGAGGAAAGGACAGCCAAAUCUGCAACCAGGCAAAUUAUGAUCAUGGUUAUUAGUGCAACAUUGAAGUUCUCCACCUGCCCGUCGUCUCCUUCCUGACUGAGUCUCCCACCCUCAGUGAACACACAACUCAACAUUCCAUUCCAAGAGUGGCGGCGGUGACAGUGAGGUGGGCCAGG